AUACGGAGGGUCCAAGCGUUAUCCGGAAUCAUUGGGUUUAAAGGGUCCGUAGGCGGGCAAUUAAGUCAGAGGUGAAAUCCCACAGCUCAACUGUGGAACUGCCUUUGAUACUGGUUGUCUUGAAUUAUAGUGAAGUAGAUAGAAUAUGUAGUGUAGCGGUGAAAUGCAUAGAUAUUACAUAGAAUACCGAUUGCGAAGGCAGUCUACUAACUGUAUCUUGACGCUGAUGGACGAAAGCGUGGGGAGCGAACAGGAUUAGAUACCCUAGUAGUCC
rnacentral:rRNA from 1 species